rfam:Oryza punctata chromosome 1, whole genome shotgun sequence.
AAUAAGUGCAGUUUUGCACUAUUCAUAUUUAACGUUUCACCGUCCGUCUUAUUUGAAAAAUUUUUAUGAUUAGUAUUUUUGUUGUUAUUAGAUGAUAAAACAUGAAUAGUACUUUAUGUGUGACUAAUUUUUUUUAAUUUUUUUAUAAUUUUUUUUCAAAUAAGACAAUGGUUAAACGUUGGAUACGGAAACCCAUGGUUGCACUUAUU